UACGGAGGGUGCGAGCGUUGUCCGGAUUUAUUGGGUUUAAAGGGUGCGUAGGCGGGCUUAUAAGUCAGUGGUGAAAUCUCCCAGCUCAACUGGGAAACUGCCAUUGAUACUGUAGGUCUUGAAUUAUUAGGAAGUAACUAGAAUAUGUAGUGUAGCGGUGAAAUGCUUAGAUAUUACAUGGAAUACCAAUUGCGAAGGCAGGUUACUACUAAUAUAUUGACGCUGAUGGACGAAAGCGUGGGUAGCGAACAGG
rnacentral:rRNA from 1 species